rnacentral:rRNA from 1 species
UACAGAGGCCUCGAGCGUUAGGCGGAAUCACUGGGCUUAAAGCGUGUGUAGGUGGAUGCCUAAGUACCUUGUGAAAUCCCAUGGCUUAACCAUGGAAUUGCUUGGUAUACUGGGUGUCUUGAGCCACUCAGGGGCGAGCGGAACAAACGGUGGAGCGGUGAAAUGCGUAGAUAUUCGGAAGAACACCAGUGGCGAAGGCGGCUCACUGGACUGGUAUUGACGCUGAGGAGCGAAAGCGUGGGGAGCGAACAGG